rnacentral:rRNA from 1 species
CACGUAGGGCGCAAGCGUUGUCCGGAAUUAUUGGGCGUAAAGAGCUCGUAGGCGGUUCGUCGCGUCGGCUGUGAAAACCCGGAGCUCAACUCCGGGCCUGCAGUCGAUACGGGCAGGCUAGAGUUCGGUAGGGGAGACUGGAAUUCCUGGUGUAGCGGUGAAAUGCGCAGAUAUCAGGAGGAACACCGGUGGCGAAGGCGGGACUCUGGGCCGAUACUGACGCUGAGGAGCGAAAGCGUGGGGAGCAAACAGG